UUGAAUAGUUACUCAUUUAGCACUUAUAAAUAUGAGAUGUAGGUACAGCAUAUUUAUCCACAGCCAAGCCAAGCAAGGAAGAUGAAGCUCUUAGCUAUACUUUUUGUAGUCAUUGUUACUUUAGUUUCAUCUUCUUCUUCUUCAUCAGUGCUUCACAGUGAUGGCAGAGAAAAGGGUAGGGUGGUGGCGGGAGAGCAGCCCUUGUCCAAGAUAGCUAUCCACAAAACUGUUGCUGCUCUCCGUCUUUCGGUCUCCGUUAAAGUCUCUCCGCGACUCCUCGGAAUUAAAGUACGUAUAUAUUGCUUCAAUAAAUUACUACUCCCUCCGUCCCAACGAAAGCGGUACGCUUCUUUUCGGCAUGAGAUUUAAGGAGAAUAAGAUUGUAGUAUAAAAGUGGGUCCUUUUAGUUACUUACAUCUAUUUCUGAAAGUGGAAAAUUUUCCUUUAUUAGAAUGAAGGCAGGUCUUUUUCAUUGUUUCCGCUAAUAUAUGUGCUACUUAUUUUUUAUUCCUNAGAUACAAGAUACAUAAUUACCAUGAAUUAACCAAGCUACUCAUAUGAAGCUAGUAUAAAUUAGAUCAAAUAUUGAAACAAAUGAAAAUACAACUCAAACCACGUCGGCGAAACAUAUACUAAUUAAUGUGUAUAGCGACCACAUUUUUAUAUACGACGUCGAUGAGACGACAUACAUUAAUUGAGCACGUUUUUAUAUAUUUGGAAUAGAAUUGUUGAAUAGUUACUGAUUUAGCAGUUAUAAAUAUGAGAUGUAGGUAUAGCAUAUUUAUCCACAGCCAAAACAAGCAAGGAAGAUGAAGCUCUUAGCUAUACUUUUUGUAGUCAUUGUUACUUUAGUUUCAUCAUCUUCUUCUUCAUCAGUGCUUCACAGUGAUGGCAGAGAAAAGGGUAGGGUGGUGGCGGGAGAGCAGCCCUUGUCCAAGAUAGCUAUCCACAAAACUGUUGCUGCUCUCCGCCCUUCGGUCUCCGUUAAAGUCUCUCCGCGACUCCUCGGAAUUCAAGUACGUAUAUAUAUAUAUAUAUAUUGCUUCAAUAAAUUACUACUUGUUUUUCUUUAAGUUUGGGCUGUCUUCUUUUGGAUAAAUGUGGAAAACAAUUGUUUUUCCUUCUUUUUCUCCUUUUAGUUACAUCUAUUUCUCAAAGUAGAAAAUUUUCCUUUAUUAGAAUGAAGGCAGGUCUUUUCAUUGUUUCCGCUAAUAUAUGUGCUACUAUUUUUAUUCCUUAAAUUGUCGUUAAAUUUGCUUCUUUUUUUUCUUUUUCUGCACGUGCUGUCCUCGUUAUUGAAUUUUCGUAUAUGUAACCUGCUGGUAGUUAUGCAACAUGAAUCACAUGAGCCUUGGGUAUUUAUUUAUUUACCUAUUUAUUUUUUCUCUUAUGUUUGCACACGUGAAAUGGAUAGAUGAAUAUCUCUCUCCAUAUAUAUAGCAUUGAGUUAUAGUACAAAUUUCAUUUAAUUUAAAAAUUAUAAAUUUUAUACUUAAUGUAUAAGAUAAUUACACUUAACGUAUAAAGUAAUUAUACUUUCGUGCUCCUAUAACUAUAAUGUAAUUGCACCCUUAUAAAAUUUCCAACCCAAAAUCAUAACAAUAUAUACUAUUAAAAUAGUAGGCUUUACCCAUUCUAAAAAAUCAAAAUAAAAAAACUACUCACAUAAAUUAAAAUAUAUAAAUAAUACUCACUUUUUAUAAAAUUUGAUAUUUAUACCUCUAAUGAAAUCAUAAUUUAAAAAAAAAACCCCCAAUUUUGGAAACUGUCGCAACAAACCCCCCUCGCCACCUCUUUCUUUCUCUUUCCCUAUUCUGUUGCCUUCCCCUCCGCGCCUCAUCGCGCUACACCUCUGCCUCGUCGCGCAUCCACAUCUCCG
rnacentral:lncRNA from 1 species